AGCGAACGCUGGCGGCGUGCCUAAUACAUGCAAGUCGAACGAAAACCAUGCCUUCGGGCAUGGGGAAAGCGGCGAACGGGUGAGUAUCACGUGGGUAAUCUGCCCUCGGCACCGGGAUAGCCCGGGGAAACCCGGAUUAAUACCGGACGGCCUCUCGAGCUUUCGGGCUCGUGAGAAAAGGUAGCUUCGGCCUCCGGCCGAGGAGGAGCCCGCGGCGGAUUAGCUUGUUGGCGGGGUCACGGCCCACCAAGGCGACGCUCCGGAGCUGGUCUGAGAGGACGAUCAGCCACACUGGGACUGAGACACGGCCCAGACUCCUACGGGAGGCAGCAGUAGGGAAUCUUGCGCAAUGGGCGAAAGCCUGACGCAGCGACGCCGCGUGCGGGAAGAAGGCCUUCGGGUUGUAAACCGCUUUUCUGAGAGAAGAAGCUACUCGGGUUAAUAGCCCAGAGGGUGACGGUAUCUCAGGAAUAAGCCCCGGCUAACUACGUGCCAGCCGCCGCCGUAA
rnacentral:rRNA from 1 species